GACAGAGGGUGCAAACGUUGUUCGGAAUUACUGGGCGUAAAGCGCGUGUAGGCUGUUUUGCAAGUCGGAUGUGAAAGCCCUGGGCUCAACCUAGGAAGUGCACUCGAAACUGCAGAACUGGAGUCCUGGAGAGGAAGGCGGAAUUCUCGGUGUAGAGGUGAAAUUCGUAGAUAUCGAGAGGAACACCGGUGGCGAAGGCGGCCUUCUGGACAGUGACUGACGCUGAGACGCGAAAGCGUGGGGAGCAAACAGGG
rnacentral:rRNA from 1 species